ensembl:lncRNA
AAAUGGACGCAGUUCAAGUGCAUACUUCCUCUUAAGACCGAAGUUGAGGCUGCCAGACAAUUUUCCAAUACACUCCUCGUUAGUAUAGUGGACAGUAUCUCUGCUUGUCACGCAGAAGACCAGGGUUCGAUUUCCUGACGGGGAGCUUCUUUUCAAAAGGCAACUACAAACUGUUCACUCUCCUUGGCUUCUCCUGUCCUAUGCAACACAACUCAUGCUGAUUAACACUAUAUUACUACUGAAACUACAGGUCCUGAACAGACUGUUGCUAAAAGCAUGACUCCAGAUUGUCACACUUCUGUCACUUAGCGAAACUGUGACAAUGUUGUCAAAGAAGUGCUGAAUCAAACGAAUGCAUGGAGGAGGACAUCUCUCAGAUGAUGCCAAUCGGUUGGCUUCAUCAGUGGCCUUAUGCACAGCCUGGAAGAGCUGUUUUUUUAUUGACCAGUUGCAAGAAGAUCCACCGCUGCAGAGAAGGCAGGACAAAUGGACAGUGUUUCCGCCCAGUUUCAAACUGGGGACCUUUCCUAUGUUAGGCGAACGUGAUACCACCGCUACACUAAAGAAACCUCGGCUCAAUCCACCACUGGUAUUGCCCUUUUGUCUUUGCAGAAGUACUUUGGAGAAGGUCUUGAACUAACAGAUUCAUCAGGCAUUGACCAUCAUCACUAUGGAACAGUCUAAAUCAGCACCUGCAUGUAGGAGGUUGUGGUUU